CAAAAUAAUGGCUGGCCGUCUAAGAAUAGCAAAUGAUGGUACAAAUUCUUCAACUUCGUGGCCGGACGUGUUAUGAUAGGUUGUGUCUGUUUCUUUGGGAUAUCAUAUCUAUAUGUUCUCUACUCGUGCCGGUACCGUAGUGACCACGAACGUCACGAGCACAACGGCAGCCGUUGUUGACGGCGCCACCGGUGCCGAUGUUCUUUAACGAGGCUGUGGACACCAUACCAACCACUCUAUGGAAUAGGCAAACCUAAUCCAGGCAGUACGAGAAAUGGACCAAAGUCGGAGUGAACACGCCUGUUGUGGUCAAUGGGGUACGACCCGUUGGAUGGGUAGCUCUCGAAACUGUAGAAACUAAGGUUGUUGGACAUGCGGUUAUAGAGCAUGCGGAUGUUGAUGGACACGCGGUCCUAGAGGAUGUGGCACUUCUACUAAGGGCCACAGGCGCUGAUGAGACAAGUGACCCUUCGAGGCCGGGCCGUGAAACGGUACAGACCGAGCAAUUUGUACAACAAGCAGCAACCGACGCCGCAGUUCCGGAGCGACAAGUAGCCGUUGAGUUGGCAACUCCAGCCCUUAACGAGGCAGCAGACACGGCUUCGAGCUUAGUACCUCUUCGACGGGUUCCCACAUACGCUACCGUAGCCUACGACAAAGUAACUGUAUGCCCACUUGGAUUCCCGCAAGUGGGAGUUGUAGAGUGCGUGGUCGCCAAGACGAGCGAGCUUCCUCCACAUGCGCAAGUAGUCGCCUCCACCAUUCCUGGUUUAUAAGACCGGCUAACUGCGGGACUCUAGAUACAACGGCCUUAUAGAGCUCAUGCUUAAACGAUGGGACCUUACCCGAUAAGGGAUGUUCGACUUGACAUUCGCGCGGUACCUCCUGUCCCGUUCGAUACGUACGCAACGAUUAGUGUCACUCACAUUCCUGAGCAGCUACCCACCUAUGAAAACGCAAACGUUCACCCCGCUGAUGCCGUUGGGGAUGCAACUACGGUCCACGGGCCUUAUGCUUGGUGGAGCCGGUAGAGGUGGUGGAGGCGGUGGAGGUGGCGGAGGGCGAGGAGGCCGUCAGCAAAUACUGAGGUAGGUCGGCUUCUUCCUAACACUGUACAGCACACCCUUGCACUCGUAGGGCAAGGGGAAACCUUAUUUCGAUCCGACGAAACGUUGACUUGUUAAGAUAGAGUUUACAGAAGCUCGGAACGGCCCCUGACUAGAAGGCCACGAACUUGACUUACCAUCAAACCAGCAGUCACUGUAUAGAUAACUGCUUCCAUAAAAUGAGCAACUGCUCUUUAAUCUCGGUUCACUAGAGAAAAGAUUAGGCCUCUGCGAGAUACGGAAUAGACCCUUUGCCCCGCACCAGUUCACCCGGCAACAAUUUUACGGUACGAACGUACGUGUCGAUUUACUCUCGCUGAUGUUUACGAACUCGAGGGUGUCACUGACGUAGCUACAGUGACUACUACCUUGUGAGUUUGAAGAUCCAAUGGCGACGUUCACGAGAAGACCAAAACUUCCCUUAGGAAUAUAAUUUCUACCUACGUGUCUAUAUUUGCUCACGGACGUCGGUCUAUUUAUGUGGACGUUGCCAUAAACGGUGUUAUUAUUUAAGCCCUCGAUGUGUACGUGUUCGAGCCUAAGGAGCCCCGUAGUAGAUCAUAAUCCAUAGUGGUAACCUGAUUCGUCACCACCCCCGUAAGAUAAAGAACGACAUAAACAACGAUAAGAAUGUGCUUCUACCUUAGCCCGGUAAGUUUUCGCGAGCUCUUUUGCCAUAAAAGCCUUCUUGUUUCCGUAAGACGAUCUUGUAUAAUAGAGAAGUCUGUUUUCACGGUUGCUACCGUGUUUCUAUAAGAGGGACCUCCUAGAUCUCUUCCCUUGUUUGUUAAAACUAGUUCGGGCACACCAGCCUGCCCCACCGGUACCGUGUCAGAUAUUCCCAUAGAACUAGCUGGUUGCGCACCACCGGUAGUUCUUUAGUUGCGAGAGCCACUAGUCGCUCUAGCUUCUCAAGUAGUUGCUCCACAGGUAGAACAGCGUCUAGUUGGUGGCUUUGCAUCACUUCGAAGUACCUACAACGGAGCUUAGGCUCCAGGGAGACGAACAGAUACUCAAGUAGAGGUUGCCGUGCGAGAUGCUGGAAGACGUGGCGGGGAGGCUCGUUUUGUCAUCGUUGAAUAACUACGGUAAUAGGACCCUCUUCGCGGACUCCUAGCGGUGGCUCUAGCGCCCGUGCGAGUGCAUGGACGUGAAAAGCCGAAGGCACAGCCAGGAGGUAUCUCUACAGUUCAGGUACUUGCACGAGGAUUUGCUGUCGAUGUGGUGUUUCCAGAGCCUAAAACCACGUAGCUCCGACUAGGGGUAUCUAGUUUGCGUGGACCAGUGGCGGCAAGUCCCAUGCAAACCCAUGGACCUAGGCCUCAUAAUGAUGUGCCCUGUUGAGUUGCUGUUCUCGCUACAAAUGUCAAAACCUCACUAUGAACAACUCGACGACUGCUCCUCCUUCGGGUAGUAGGUCUUACUCGUACCGCUCUUCGUCUUGAACAGUUUGAUGAAGAACACGCGGUACUCCCUCUCCGAGGAGCUCCUUUGCCACCUGCGCGUCUAGGACCCCCCACCUUCUCUACUUCCCCAAGACACGUACCGAGUCAACCGUCUCCUCACGGAGUCCGACUGAGCUCUCCUCUCCGGUUGGUACUUUCUACACCUCUACUCCGACGUCGAGGAGUGUCCUACGGCACAACGUGACUCCCACUCCGUUCUUCUUCUCCGUGGUGGACGCCCUCUACUGCCCGUACCUCCCCAGUUAGACUAUCAGCCAGUCGUACCGAGUGCAGUCAAGUCGGUUCUUGUACUCAAGCAGAGUAGAGACGCACAUGGCGCCAUCCAACAUCCGUGUGGAAUAAAUGUAAAACGGGAACGAUCCUUUUCUUAAACAAAAGGACAGCGUAAAGUUUAAAACCAACUAUAUACAUUCUUACUUCUUUAACAUGAAAAUUCUUCAAUAGUAAUACACUCAGCGUCAGCUAUCGUAACUCUCACAGUUACUAACUACGAAGAGUUUCUUAU
rnacentral:rRNA from 1 species